UACGUAGGGGGCUAGCGUUGUCCGGAAUCAUUGGGCGUAAAGAGCGCGUAGGCGGCCAGAUAAGUCCGGUGUGAAAGUCACAGGCUCAACCUGUGAAUGCCGCUGGAAACUGUCUGGCUAGAGUCCGGGAGGGGCGAGUGGAAUUCCUGGUGUAGCGGUGAAAUGCGCAGAUAUCAGGAGGAACACCAAUGGCGAAGGCAGCUCGCUGGAACGGUACUGACGCUGAGGCGCGAAAGCGUGGGUAGCAAACGGG
rnacentral:rRNA from 1 species